CAGGUGAACGUGAGGACGCUUCAAUGAAGAGUUCAUCCUCUUUUAGCAUGCUCUGAAGAACACAGGAGAAACUAAGAGUCUUCCAUCUGCACAGAGACGGACUACAUCAUUUAAAGCAUCUAUGAUGAGAAAACUUGCUACGUGGAAUUGCUUAUACCUGCUCCAACUGAUUCAAGCUGUCUUCAUAUAUGCCAAGGCCUUUAUGGAAACUGCUGUUCUGAGGCAUUU